rnacentral:rRNA from 1 species
GACGAACGCUGGCGGCGUGCUUAACACAUGCAAGUCGAGCGGUAAGGCCCUUCGGGGUACACGAGCGGCGAACGGGUGAGUAACACGUGGGUGACCUGCCUCUAGCUCUGGGAUAAGCCUGGGAAACUGGGUCUAAUACCGGAUAUGACUCCACGGCGCAUGUUGUGGGGUGGAAAGCCUUGUGUGGCUAGAGAUGGGCCCGCGGCCUAUCAGCUUGUUGGUGGGGUGAUGGCCUACCAAGGCGACGACGGGUAGCCGGCCUGAGAGGGCGACCGGCCACACUGGGACUGAGACACGGCCCAGACUCCUACGGGAGGCAGCAGUGGGAAUCUUGCGCAAUGGGCGAAAGCCUGACGCAGCGACGCCGCGUGAGGGAUGACGGCCUCGG